rnacentral:sRNA from 1 species
UUUUUAUAACAAUUUUUUUCUCAGCCAAAAAAAUGCUUUUAAAAACCCUUGUAAAUUUAUUUUAAAACACUUUUAAACCCUUUAAAAAUCUUUGAAAAACCUUUGUAAAUCUUUUAAAGGCCUUUAAAAUCUCUUGUAAAUAUUUUAAAACUCUUUUAAAAUCCCUUGUAAAUCUUUAAAAACCCUUUUAAAAUCACUUGUAAAUAUUUUAAAACCCUUUUAAAACAAUUUUAAACCCUUUAAAAAAC